rnacentral:tRNA from 1 species
GCCGGCGUGGCGAAACUGGCAGACGCGCUGGACUCAAAAUCCAGUGAGGCUCACACCUCAUGUCGGUUCAACUCCGACCGCCGGCA